GCAGUGCUAUUUCCAUUUAGUUUUUUAAAGUUAAGUAUUUCUAAUAUGUUUUCAAAAUCUUUCCAAUCUCCUUUCUUCAAAAUAGACCAAAAUUAUAUUUGCAAUUUUGUGAGUUCUUUAUCUUUUUUGAAGUGAUAUACAAUCAAGGGGCAUAAAGUUAUGCAGUAUUAAUUUUAAUUGUCUUCCAUUUGUGGUUAGUUCAGGCUUAUCAUUAAAAGGAAUGUAAUAUACAAUAGAUAAUCGGUUCAUCUUUUUUUUUUUAUGUCUGGAUUUAAGUUGGAACUCUCUAGUUUGUUAGAUGUAGUGAUGUUGCCUUUCUCCAUUCCCGUAUUCAUGCUUCUCUUUGCCAGCUUUAUCCCCUUGGUUCCGCUAUACUACUUAGGAACUCAGCAGUGAAAUCCAAUUUUUUUUACUACUGGUUCUGUGGGUGUGGCUUGGUGGCGUGGUGUGGCUUGGUGGCGUGGUGUGGCUUGGUGGGCAUGGCAGGGGAAGGAUACUGCAAAAUCUCCAUUCCCACCCCACUCCAGGGGAAGGAUACUGCAACAUCCCCAUUCCCUCCCCACUCCUGGGGGAAGGAUAUUGCAAAAUCUCCAUUCCCACCCCACUCUGGGACCAGCCAGAGGUUUUAUUUGCCGGUUCUCCAGAACCUGUCAGAACCUGCUGGAUUUCACCCCUGUAGCAACUGCAUUCUGACUCAGUUAGAGCAUUCUGUGAGUUGCUGUUCCCAGGCCUGCAUCUGUUCAUAACAGAAAGUUAAUCCAAGCAAUAUGUCUGGUGAUUUACUUUGCAGCCACUUUAGACAUCCUAAAUUGGGGAGGGGAUGAUACGUGUUUGUUUUUUAUUGAUUAUCAGUCCAAGCCAAAAGGGUUUUUCUUACAGUUUCAUAGGAGGAGCACAUUAACUUUGGCUGUUACAGGUUGGGGAAAAAGUUCUGACUUUCUCUAAGCAUUUAAUCUGCAAAGCACACCAGUGCCUUAUUAAUAUAUAAAGGCAUGGUUUUUUAAAAAUACAAUAUGUCUACUACCUGAGUUGAAUAAUUAGAAAAAAAGUGUGACGUUUGGGGACAUUUUGGUUCUUAGUCAAACUAUGAUUUAGGUAUUUCUGAUGCAAUCUCGCUUCACAAGCCCCAGGCGUGGUUGAUAGGGCCAUCAAUUUAAUAAAACAAAAAAAUCAGAAAUUUGCAACCAAGUUUACUGCAUUAAAGGGGCUGGUUAUGGGACUAUAUCUAUCUUCUCUGAGGACGAGCCUUGCCUAGUGCUGAGAGAUAAGUAAUGUCUGCUGAGAGAUAAGUAAUGCCUGCUUCCUGAUCUGUCUACUAUAUACCUUUCAACAGUUGGUGAAGGCCUUUCUGAAUCACUGUCCAUCAAGCUCAUGCAAGGUAUAUGAGCCUCAGGAUUAUCCUUUUCCCACCCAAAAGCUUCAAAAUAUGCCAGAUGGACCUAAGAAAACCUUGUUCACAAUCUUAAUACCUGCAUAGUCAUAUCACACACCCUCACAAAACAAACACCAUCUUCUCUCUGGCUUAGUUAUCCAGGAAUAGAAAUCCAUUCACAAAAGGGGUCAAAGCCAAAAGGAGAAAUACCUGAUACAGACUAAUUUCUGACAUAAAAUAUAGGAGUCCCUGCGGAUUUUACUCUGGUAGCCGUAGCUGACUAUAGAGGCCGAUGCUUGUCUCUGUUUCAAGGCCAUUGACAUUUCCGUGGUCAUGUGGCCAGUAUGAUGUCAUGAAGCACUGUUACUUUCCCACUGUUACCUAUUUAUCUACUUGCAUUUGCAUGCUUUAGAACUGCUAGGUGGGCAGGAGCUGGGAUGAGGACGGGAGUUUACCUGUUGUGUGGUGCUCGGGUCUCGAACCCAGGUUAUCAGCCUACAAGCCCAGUGUCUUAACCACUGAGCCACCGUGUGCGUGACAUAAAAUCUAAGGAAAUAAAAAAGCACUUAAAAUACAAAUAGCAAUAAGAACAUCCUGUGUAAUGAUGGGUACUCUCUUGCUAUAAAGAUUCCAUCUUGUAUACUGUGUGUAACUGAUCGGGACUGCAAGAAUCUGAUUGUCAUAUAACUUGGUCUAAAUAAUCAUGCCAGUAACUCUACUUACAAGAAUUCUGGUUUAACCUGUUGGGAUUGCCAGUCUUGCUGCCAUGACUCUUCAUCCAAAAGUGUAAUAAUGGUUAACUAUACCUGCACCCUGUAAUAGAAUAUGUUCUGACAUUCAUAAAAUGUUCUUUUAAAAAUGA